GAGUUUAACAGGCAGAUGUAAAGGUUCCUUUUGUCUGAGUUUGGGUGUUUUGCAAGGUUUUAGCCAUUGAGCUUAUUUAUUUUCUCUGCCAUAAAUUACAAGCAUAAUGUGUGUGUGUAUAAUAUAUGCGUAUAAGUAUAUAACUAUAUACACAUCUGUGUGUCUGAAUAUAUAUCUAUCUCAAUCCAUGCGAGUAUACUGGGGUAAGUCCUAUAGGAGCUAUAAUAAAUAAUGGGAAAUGCAUGGAGCCCUUAAAAAAAUGGUAAUAAUCCAUGAUUCACAUUGUCUGUCACAACCACACAGAAAUUAUAGCCUCCUUGCAGGUGCACUUUUACAGAUAUUGGUAUCUUUUCUUUCCAGAAAACAGCCUCUGUUAUCACAAUGAUUGUAAAUUGUCUUAUUAUGUAACACACUGCUCUGAGCUUAGGCAAUCCACUUUUAACAAGAGGUUCUCAUCAGUGGAUGGCUUUUGUCCAUUGUAGAUAUACCCCUAAAAUGUGUAACCACUGUAAUGUAUAAGCACUACAGUUAACCAUAAAUUUAAGAAUAAUAAAAUAAAUUGAAUUCUCAUGGUAACAUUAAAUUAUUGCAUUUUAGCCCCCUUGCUUUCAUUUAAAAUCUGUAAUUAAAUAAAAUAUGUAUGUAGUCACACAAAUGAACAAAUGGUUAUGCAACCAAUAACAAAACAGAUUCCCAUUCCUUUUCCUAGACAUGACGUGUGUGUUUUAUUUGAUACAUGGUGCUACAAGGUCACAAAAAUAAACAUCAACAUAAAAAUUAAUGUAAAGGAUCUAAGGACAAAUUAUUAACAGAACAUAUACUUAGAUGCUUAUAUAUUUUUUCAAGUAUGUAGUACUUAUAGAAUUUUCAGAGUAUAUACUCAACCAUAUGAUGGUUGCAUCUAUGAUGGUUGCAUUUUGAUUCGAGCUCUUUUUUUAAUUAACUAGAAGACAGUAACCAAAACAUUUUCAUGAGCAGGAAAACAUUUUUGGGCGUGUAUCCCUCCACAAAUGGACAAAUUUAGUCAGGUAUUCAGUCUCCCUGAGCUUUGAGUAAGCUGUGAGGUUGGGUUGGAGAAGGGAGAAUCACUGGGGAAAUGGGAAGAUGGGUCACUUCCGAAGAUCUAGCCGGCUUUACACAGCUUUCAGUUGCCCUCAUGGAGCGCCAUGCUCUCUAGGCAGACAUGUAGCAAGUGUGGAAGCCU
rnacentral:lncRNA from 1 species